rnacentral:rRNA from 1 species
GACGAACCGUGCGAACGUUAUUCGGAAUCACUGGGCUUAAAGCGCGUGUAGGCGGCCCGGCACGUCCGUCGCUGAAAUCCCCCGGCUCAACCGGGGAAGUGGCGUGGAUACGGCCGGGCUGGAGGGGGGUAGGGGGAGCCGGAACUUCCGGUGGAGCGGUGAAAUGCGUUGAGAUCGGAAGGAACGCCCGUGUCGAAAGCGGGCUCCUGGACCCCACCUGACGCUGAGACGCGAAAGCCAGGGGAGCGAACGGG